CUACGGGUUGCACCAGUGGGGAAUAUUGCACAAUGGAGGAAACUCUGAUGCAGCAACGCCGCGUGGAGGAUGACACUUUUCGGAGCGUAAACUCCUUUUAUAUAGGAAGAAGAUGACGGUACUAUAUGAAUAAGCGCCGGCUAACUCCGUGCCAGCAGCCGCGGUAAUACGGAGGGCGCAAGCGUUACUCGGAAUCACUGGGCGUAAAGAGCGUGUAGGCGGAUUAAAAAGUCAGAAGUGAAAUCCUAUAGCUUAACUAUAGAACUGCUUCUGAAACUCUUAAUCUAGAAUAUGGGAGAGGUAGAUGGAAUUUCUGGUGGAGGGGUAAAAUCCGUAGAGAUCAGAAGGAAUACCGAUUGCGAAGGCGAUCUACUAGAACAUUAUUGACGCUGAGACGCGAAAGCGUGGGAAGCAAACAGGAUUAGAUACCCCGGUAGUC
rnacentral:rRNA from 1 species